CAGGGAGCAGCAAGUACUUGGGAGGCAGCAUGCAGGGGACAGCAGCAGAGGAGAGAGGAAGGCAGAGAAGACAUCUGGACUGUGCUGGUUUUCCUGCACGCACAAGAACUGAAGACAAGCAGCAGGCAUCAGCAGAGCAGCAGAGGUGUGCUGAGGCACUUCUGUCCUAAUCCUGCUCCUGCUGCCCUCCUCAGAGCCCUUCCAUGCCUGAGUGACUCAGGAAGAUGUGCACAGGGUGGGAGGACUGGGAAGAAAAGCAAAGAGGGAAGCCCAGAGACAGCAGAAGAGGACUGCUCCAUACCAGUGCCUGCCUGUCCAUCUUCUCCCUCUCGAACACCUCGCAGUACUCAGACAGCUCCAGCUGCUUCAGCACUUCUUUGACUUCCUCCACACCUCUGCUGCCUGAGCUUGUCCUGGAGCCCUGUGAACAAAACCAUCAGGGAUCCUGC